UUUAUCGGAGAGUUUGAUCCUGGCUCAGGACGAACGCUGGCGGCGUGCCUAAUACAUGCAAGUCGAGCGGACAGAUGGGAGCUUGCUCCCUGAUGUUAGCGGCGGACGGGUGAGUAACACGUGGGUAACCUGCCUGUAAGACUGGGAUAACUCCGGGAAACCGGGGCUAAUACCGGAUGCUUGUUUGAACCGCAUGGUUCAGACGUAAAAGGUGGCUUCGGCUACCACUUACAGAUGGACCCGCGGCGCAUUAGCUAGUUGGUGAGGUAACGGCUCACCAAGGCGACGAUGCGUAGCCGACCUGAGAGGGUGAUCGGCCACACUGGGACUGAGACACGGCCCAGACUCCUACGGGAGGCAGCAGUAGGGAAUCUUCCGCAAUGGACGAAAGUCUGACGGAGCAACGCCGCGUGAGUGAUGAAGGUUUUCGGAUCGUAAAGCUCUGUUGUUAGGGAAGAACAAGUGCCGUUCAAAUAGGGCGGCACCUUGACGGUACCUAACCAGAAAGCCACGGCUAACUACGUGCCAGCAGCCGCGGUAAUACGUAGGUGGCAAGCGUUGUCCGGAAUUAUUGGGCGUAAAGGGCUCGCAGGCGGUUUCUUAAGUCUGAUGUGAAAGCCCCCGGCUCAACCGGGGAGGGUCAUUGGAAACUGGGGAACUUGAGUGCAGAAGAGGAGAGUGGAAUUCCACGUGU
rnacentral:rRNA from 1 species